GUCUGUCCAACUCAACGCCUCUUCUCUCCCUCUCUCUCUUUCUGUCUCUCUCUCCGUGUAUGAAACAAAAAAAUAUGACCACAACACCCAAAGAAGCCAUUGCAUCAGCACAUCCAAGCCCUGAAUGUUGCAUGUGUGGAGAUUGUGGCCUUUCUUAUGAGCUUUUUCAGUGCAAGAUUUGUCAAUUCAGAUCUCAGCACAGAUACUGUAGUAAUCUUUUUCCCAAAGCUGAGUCCUACCAAGUCUGCAACUGGUGUCUGAGCCAUGAAACGAAAGAAAAAUCACAGAAUUCUUCGAAUUCAUCAUCCUCAAACAAAAACAGCAGCGAAGAUGAUAGCAGCAAGAACAGCCAGAACAAGAACAAGAACAAGAACAAAGGAGCUGGUCUAAAGAGCCAAAGAAGUAGUCUGCAGUUGCAAGUAAAUAGCCCC
rnacentral:misc_RNA from 1 species